AUUUUAAUAUUUUUCUAUUUACUGGUAAUUACUCAACGACUGGUGCAGUGAUUCUAUUUUUGUAAGCUUUUAGAUUAUAUUUUUUUUAAGUUUAUAUUAUUUCUUCAGAUUACAAUCACACCAGGAUUACAAUCAUCUUCUCAAUCAAAUCUUUAACAUUUUAAUCAGUCUCUAAACCGAAGCAUUAUACGAAGAAAUUGAAUCCAAGAACCUUCAACUACUAGUCAACUACAGUCUUAGUGAAGCCACGUAUCAUCCGAAAUUUUUUAAAUAAAUGUUUGUAUCCAAGAAUAUUUUUUUAUGCCGGAUUUCUGACAACCAAGAAUUACAAUACCACUACUUUUUUAGUGUUACAGCUUCUGAAGAGCAUUGGCUCUCUUUGAUAAAUCCUCUUUAUUCCAUUCAAUUGAAACUAGUUCUCUGUGAUGUAAACCGCAUAUUUGAUCUCUAGGAUCGAAGGAAACAGACUUGUUAGGAUACCUUUUCGUCAUGCCUAGAGAGACUCCUUUCCCCAGUUUUUUAAUCACUGAAGAAAAAACUUUUGAAUCUUUCAAGAGUAAAUGCAUUUAAAUGUAGAAUGUAAAGCAAGUGAAGAGAGGAUCAAGCGACAACGGAUUUCGAGCUAUUUUGAUGAAUGCUUUCUGCAUAUAAACUGACGGCGAUGAAAUCACGUUAUGUUAAUGUCAUAUCGAAUUAUUACUCGAUCGAAUGAAACCGCAUUUCGCAAAGGAACAAGACUUCGAUUCGCAGUGUCCGCAAAUAGAUAUCGUUAUUUAAGGAUAUCCAUCCAGCACUUGAAUUAGCACAGUGGAACGAUGAAUCUAUCUACGUUAUGCGCCGAUGGCAUAACUAGGGCAGGUACCCGAGGGAGCCCGAGCUAAGUGGAACGUCCUAUAUAUCGAACGUCAAGAGUCUCGACAGUUGACGAGCUCGCGGACAGCAGGGUGAAAAGAGGGACGCGGCGGAGAAGCCCACCUACUCUUGAGUAUAUAUAUAUACAAUAUAUACAAAUAAAUACAAACGCGUUAAUACCUUCGAAACCGUUAAAACCUCCGCAUACAUCAGUUAUCGUGGUAUUAAUACACUCAGAAAA
rnacentral:lncRNA from 13 species